rnacentral:rRNA from 1 species
GAGUGAUGAAGGCUUUCGGGUCGUAAAACUCUGUUGUUAGGGAAGAACAAGUACGAGAGUAACUGCUCGUACCUUGACGGUACCUAACCAGAAAGCCACGGCUAACUACCUGCCAGCAGCCGCGGUAAUACCUAGGUGGCAAGCGUUAUCCGGAAUUAUUGGGGGUAAAGGGCGGGCAGGCGGGUUCUUAAGUCUGAUGUGAAAGCCCACGGCUCAACCGUGGAGGGUCAUUGGAAACUGGGGAACUUGAGUGCAGAAGAGAAAAGCGGAAUUCCACGUGUAGCGGUGAAAUGCGUAGAGAUGUGGAGGAACACCAGUGGCGAAGGCGGCUUUUUGGUCUGUAACUGACGCUGAGGCGCGAAAGCGUGGGGAGCAAACAGGAUUAGAUACCCUGGUAGUCCACGCCGUAAACGAUGAGUGCUAAGUGUUAGA